AUGGUCGGUGAUAGAAGAAAAAGAAGUGAUGCUUCAAUAAUUCCGCCUCGAAAAGUCAAUGUGCAGAAAUUCACAGAAUCCCAUUAUUCUGCGCUCGAGACUUUUCACUCUAUCAUCUCAGACCGAUUGAACGAUGAUUUCCGAUCUCGAAGAAACAUGAGAAGAAGAACCACUGCCUAUGACAAUCUAGUUAAGAAGAAACGUAGAAAAAGGAAAAAAUUAGUGGAUUUCGAGAAAGUCAAGGAAAGAGUUCCUCCUCGCUGUCUUCAUCGAAGGGUUGAACUUAGAAAGAACCCUGAAAGUGUUUUCUCUACUUCAGGGGAUGGGACUAAGGGAAUGAAGACUCAUGUUUGGCAUGCGAAAAGUUUCGCUAUGACAAAGCUGUGGGGUUUUCACCUUCCUUUAGGUUUGUAGGGCAGAGGAAGAGGUUAUAGGGCUUUACUGAGGUGGUACAUGCAUGGAACACUUAUGCAUGAUGCUAGCUAUUAUAUUGCUAUGCAGUUGAAGGGUCCAGAGGAGUCAUUAAUGUCAGUAGUAAGAAUGGUGUUGGAACCUUCUCCAUCUGCUCAUUCUGACGAAGUUACCAAUGCUAUUCUUUCUUGUGUUACUUAUUGGACUGUCAUGGUAGUUUACUCACUGCAAUUCUUUCUGGUCUGA